rnacentral:rRNA from 1 species
UUAGAGUUUGAUCCUGGSUCAGGAUGAACGCUGGCGGCGUGCCUAAUACAUGCAAGUCGAGCGAUGAGGCUCCUUCGGGAGUACAUCAGCGGCGAACGGGUGAGUUACACGUAGGUGACUUGCCCCGAAGAUGGGGAUAACCUCUGGAAACGGGGGCUAAUACCCAAUGUGCUCGGUGAUUCGGUUGAUCGAGUUAAGCUCCGGCGCUUCGGGAGAGGCCUGCGGCCCAUCAGCUAGUUGGUAGGGUAACGGCCUACCAAGGCAGAGACGGGUAGGGGGUGUGAGAGCAUGGCCCCCCACACUGGGACUGAGACACGGCCCAAACUCCUACGGGAGGCAGCAGCAGGGAWUAUUGCGCAAUGGACGGAAKUCUGACGCAGCGACGCCGCGUGGAUGACGAAGGCCUUCGGGUUGUAAAAUCCUUUUCCGGGCGAUGAGGAAGGACACUAGCCUGGGAAUAAGCGUCGGCUAACUACGUGCCARCAGCCGCSGUAAGACGUAGGACGCGAGCGUUAUCCGGAUUUACUGGGCGUAAAGCGCCUGCAGGCGGUCAGGUAAGUCGGUUGUGAAAGCCCCGUGCUCAACGCGGGGAGGCCAAGCGAUACUGCGUGACUUGAGGGCGGAAGAGGGGAGUGGAAUUCCCGGUGUAGCGGUAAAAUGCGCAGAUAUCGGGAGGAACACCAGUGGCGAAGGCGGCUCCCUGGACCGCACCUGACGCUCAGAGGCGAAAGCUAGGGGAGCGAACAGG